rnacentral:rRNA from 1 species
AUUGAACGCAGGCGGCAUGCCUUAUACAUGCAAGUCGAACGGCAGCACGGGGCAACCUGGUGGCGAGUGUCGAACGGGUGAGUAAUGCAUCGGAACGUACCUUUCAGUGGGGUAUAACGUAGCGAAAGUUACGCUCAUACCGCAUAUUCUGUGAGCAGGAAAGCAGGGGAUCGCAAGACCUUUCGCUGAUGGAGCGGCGGAUGUCAGAGUAGCUAGUUGGUGGGGUAAAGGCUCACCAAGGCGACGAUCUGUAGCGGGUCUGAGAGGAUGAUCCGCCGCACUGGAACUGAGACACGGUCCAGACUCCUACGGGAGGCAGCAGUGGGGAAUUUUGGACGAUGGGGGCAACCCUGAUCCAGCCAUGCCGCGUGAGUGAAGAAGGCCUUCGGGUUGUAAAGCUCUUUCGGCCGGGAAGAAAUCGCACGGGCUAAUACCCUGUGUGGAUGACGGUACCGGAAUAAGAAGCACCGGCUAACUACGUGCCGGCAGCCGCCGCAGUAA